rnacentral:rRNA from 1 species
AUUGAACGCUGGCGGCAGGCCUAACACAUGCAAGUCGAGCGGAGCAGCAGACGGGUACGUAAUGCCUAUGAAUGUGCCUGGUGGUGGGGGAUGACGUUCAGAACCGGGCGCUAAAGCCACAUCCUAUCGGAUGAGCAUAGGUCGGAUUAGCUAGUUGGUGGGGUAAAGGCCUACCAAGGCGACGAUCAGUAACUGGUCUGAGAGGAUGAGCAGUCACACUGGAACUGAGACACGGUCCAGACUCCUACGGGAGGCAGCAGUGGGGAAUAUUGGACAAUGGGCGAAAGCCUGAUCCAGCCAUGCCGCGUGUGUGAAGAAGGUCUUCGGAUUGUAAAGCACUUUCAGUUGGGAGGCGUUACCAACAGAAGAAGCACCGGCUAACUUCGUGCCAGCAGCCGCGGUAAUAC